UGGGAGCUUGCUCCUGGAUUCGACGACGGACGGACGAGUAAUGCCUAGGAAUCUGCCUGGCAGAGGGGGACAACGAUUCGAAAGGAACGCUAAUACCGCCUACGUCCUACGGGAGAAAGCAGGGGACCUUCGGGCCUUGCGCUAUCAGAUGAACCUACCCCGGAUUAACUAGUUGGUGGGGAAAGGCCUACCAAGGCGACGAUCCGUACCUGGCUUGAGAGGAUGAUCGAUCACACUGGAACUGACACACGGUCCAGACUCCUACGGGAGGCAGCAGUGGGGAAUAUUGAACAAUGGGCGAAAGCCUGAUCCAUCCAUGCCGCGUGUGUGAAGAAGGACUUCGGAUUGUAAAGCACUUUAUUUUGGGAGGAAGGACAGUAAGUUAGUACCUUGCUGUUUUGACUGUACCUACAGAAUAAGCACCGGCUAACUUCGUGCCAGCAGCCGCGCUAAUACAAAGGGUGCAAGCGUUAAUCGAAAUUACUGGGCGUAAAGCGCGCGUAGGUGGGUUGGUAGGAUGGAUGGAUGAAUCCCCGGGCUCAACCUGCCUAACUGCAUGCAUUAACUGCCUGGACUAGAGUACGGUAGGAGGGGGGUGGAAUUUCCUUGCGGUAGCGGCGAAAUGCGUGAGAUAUAGGAUGGAACACCACCGGGUGAAGGCGACCACCUCGGACUGAUACUGACUGCUCGAUGUGCGAAAGCGUGGGGGAGCAAACAGGGAUGAAUAUAACCCCUGUCUA
rnacentral:rRNA from 1 species